UACGAAGGGGACUAGCGUUGUUCGGAAUUACUGGGCGUAAAGCGCACGUAGGCGGAUUUGUAAGUCAGGGGUGAAAUCCCGGGGCUCAACCUCGGAACUGCCUUUGAUACUGCAAAUCUCGAGUCCGAUAGAGGUGGGCGGAAUUCCUAGUGUAGAGGUGAAAUUCGUAGAUAUUAGGAAGAACACCGGUGGCGAAGGCGGCCCACUGGAUCGGUACUGACGCUGAGGUGCGAAAGCGUGGGGAGCAAACAGG
rnacentral:rRNA from 1 species